UAGCCGUAAACGAUACUCGCUAGGUGUCGGCCACGGUGCGACCGGUGUCGGUGCCGUAGGGAAGCCGUGAAGCGAGCCACCUGGGAAGUACGGCCGCAAGGCUGAAACUUAAAGGAAUUGGCGGGGGAGCACAACAACGGGUGGAGCUUGCGGUUUAAUUGGAUUCAACGCCGGAAAUCUUACCGGGAUCGACAGCAACAUGAAGGCCAAGCUGAAGACUUUGCCGGAUUAGCUGAGAGGAGGUGCAUGGCGUAGUCGUGU
rnacentral:rRNA from 1 species